AGCCCAAGUUUGACCAUUUCACCUUCUAUUCUCACUUGGUUCCGCUCCACGGUGCAGCGAUGGAUCAUACUACAGUGAGAGACAAGAAAAAGAGGCAGAGAAGUAGAAGCUCUGUAUCAUCUCAGACCACAGUUCACUCACUCCCUGUAGCACGACAUCCUUUGCGUCAUCUUCUCCUUCCUCGACCUCUUCGACCUCGUCCGAUGCUCUGUCGUCUGCAAAUCCUGGUAUUCUUUAUUCUCUCUCUGCUUGUACUUUUUGACAAUGGGGUCGGUAAGAAAAAUGGGUUUUCUCUCAUUUUCGUGAAGGAAUGCAAUUAUGAAUAAGUCCAAGUUGCUGCAACUGGUAUACCACAAGCAGCAGCAGUGAGUCUAGUGGGUUUUUCCAAUAUGUGUAGUAAUUUGGAAGAAUCGCUGAAGUUAUACUUGGAAUCCAUAGCUGGCUUUGCAAGAUGGUGUUGUUUAUAUUAAUUAUUGAUCAAGGGAGAGACCAUUCUGCUUGGUAAUGUCCUCCUAUUGAGUCUUACUGUCUUUUUUCCCCUUUUAAUUCGAUUAUCAAGUACUCAACAAUGCUAAAGGUGAAAUCUUUAUCAAAUUUUUUCUUGGACCAUCAAUGAGUUCUUCAUAUAUCAUAUUCUAAUUUCAGGCAUUAUAUGAUUUUAAGCAGAUUCAAAGUUACAGAUAGACUAAUAAAUUUCAUGACCAAAAAAACAAAAAAAAACAAAAAAGACUAUUAAAUUUGUGGGUGUAUACAUACUCAGUUUUAUGCAGGGAAGAUAUCAUUUUUAUCUAAACUUGAUUUCUGUUAGGGUGUAUCACUACCGAAUGAAGAUGGGCUUACUUCUUAGCUGUGUAGAACGCAGGUGAAAAUUGGUUCUAGCAUUGUCUUGGAAGGCAACAGAACAAGUUUUCAACAGAUCAAAGUUUUCUGGUUGAUAGAUCUUGUGGGUGCUUCCAAUAGGUCUUGUAAUUCUGAGGAACCGUUGAAGUUAUAUUUGGAGGAGGUUGCCAUGGAACAUCAUAGAUUGGCUUUGCAAGAGGAUGUUAUUCAUAUUGAUCAAUGGAGGGGCCAUUUUGCUGGGUAAUAUUCUUGAAUUUUACUUUUUUUUUUCAAUAUAUAUAUAUAUAUAUAUAUAUAUCAAGUAAAGAAACGAUGCUAAAGGUGAAAUCUUUAUCAACUUGCUUGUGUCUUCAAUGAUAUUUUCAUAUAUCAUAUUCUAAUUUCAGGUCUCAUAUUAAAGUUUUAUGUUUUGUAUUCUGUUUUCACACCUCAUAUAUGAUUAUUAACCAUAUUUAAAGUUUCAUAUACAAUAUUGAGUUUGUGGGUGUAUAUAUUUUGGUGUAUCAUUUCAACCUCGUUUGCUGCUUGGUAUCUGUAAAUCCUGGUACUCUUUAUUACCUUUCUUCUCCUCUUGAAAAUUCGAGUCGAUAAUAAAGAUGGAAUUUUCUUAUGGUGGGGAACGAAUGCGAUAAUGGAUAGGUCUAAAGUUGCUGCAAGUGUUCUUUGGUUUUCUACAGUCCAUAACACGCAGCUCAAGCCUUGCCUGUUUCCAAUACGACAUCCUUUGCACCAUGUUUUUCCUUCCUCGACCUCAUCCCAUAUGAUUUGUCGUCUGGAAAUCCUGGCAGUGGCAAAUGGGUCUCAUGUGUGUUUCCAAUACAACAGUUCUACUAAUUUGGAGGAAUCGUUGAAGUUGUAUUUGGAUUUUGGAGAAGCUUUCAGUGGAACUUCAUAGAUUAGCUUUGCAAGAGGGUGUUAUUGAUAUUUGUUAAUGGACAGGCUAUUCUGCUGGGUAAUGUCCUUGUCCAAAUUCAAUUAUCAGCUAUUUCCGGAUGACAAUCAACUCAUUCAUUGGUGGAAUAGAUGCUGUGCAAGGAGUUUUUGAACCAUAAUACAGGUGAAGUCGUUUCCAGCAUUGUUUUGGAAUGCAAAAGAUCAAGUUCUGAAGGCACAAAUGGUGCCAUUGGAUGAUCCAAAGGAAGAAGGCUUUCAGAAGAUACCUGCAUUGAUAGCAUUUCCAGAAGUGCUCGAACAUUUUUCACUCUUUCUUGGCUGGUUGGAUGAAGAAAGUUGCCACCAUGCACAAAAGUAGGUACAUCAGAGUGUGGAUAUUCAACAAGUAAUUCAGAUCACGCUGUUAAAUACUAGGAAAUUGAUGUUCAAUGUGGCCUUAACAAUUGCAUGGUUGUUAUUGUUUUCAUUCAUAUAAACUGUUAAUAUAUCUUAUCCUCAUUGAUUUUGAAGACCAUUUUCCAUCUUUUUUCAAAAAAUAAAUAAAUUAUUAUGUAUCUCCAUAUUAAUGUUUA